rnacentral:tRNA from 1 species
GCCAGGAUGGCGGAAUUGGUAGACGCACAGGUCUCAAAAACCUGCGAUAGCGAUAUCAUGCCGGUUCGAUUCCGGCUCCUGGCA